UUAUAUGCUGUCUCAAUGAUUAAGCCAUGCAUGUCUAAGCACAGAUUGUGAGGAUGCAAGCCGCGGAUGGCUCAUUAAAUCAGCUAUAAUUGAUUGGAUAAAUGAAGUUAUUCCUUAAAGGGAUAACUGUGGAAAUUCUAGAGCUAAUACCUGCCACUAUAUCCCAACCCUUCGGGGGCGGGAUGGCUUUAUUAGAUCAAAACCUUCAGCAAGUUUUGAUAACUCUUGAUACAGUGACUAAUCGCGUGACCAUGAGUCAAGUGAUAUAUCCUUUCAAAUGUCUGAGUUAUCAGCUCGAUGGUAGGGUAGCGGCCUACCAUGGCUACGACGACUCACGGGGUGUUUACGCACGACACCGGAGAUUGAGCCUGAGAGACGGCUAAAGCAUCCAUGGAUAGACAGCAGGCGCGAAACUUACUCACUCCCAGGAGCGGGGAAGUAGAGACAAUAAAUAACAACACAUCCAUUGUAUAAUGGGCGUGAUUGGAAUGAGACGAUACUAAAACGAUUAACAAGUAUCGAUUGGAGGGCAAGUCUGGUGCCAGCAGCCGCGGUAAUUCCAGCUCCAAUAGCAUAUAUUAAAGUUGUUGCAGUUAAAAAGCUCGUAGUUGAAUUCCAAGCUAGGUGUCGGUCGCCUUUUCGAAGGAGACCGGCGCCAGGUUCUCAUGGCUUGAAGCUAUUAAUGAUCUUGACUGAUUGUUCUUAGUGAAUGGCAUGUUUACCUUGUUUAAAUUAGAGUGAUCAAAGCAGGCAUAUGUCUGUAUGGUGGAACAUGGAAUAAUGAAAUAAGACUACGGUCUUGUUUUGUUGGUUUAUCGAUCCUAGUAAUGAUUAAAAGGGACUGCCGGGGGCAUCCGUAUACCAGGGGUAGAAGUGAAAUUCGUAGAUCCUUGGUAGACGACCUAUUGCGAAAGCAUUUGCCAAGAAUGUUUUCAUUAAUCAAGAACGAAAGUUAGAGGAUCGAAGACGAUUAGAUACCGUCCUAGUUCUAACCGUAAACUAUGCCAUCUUGUUGUCUGACUCUUCAUUGAUUGGAAGAGGCUUACAUAACCCCCGGGAAACCAAAGUUUUUGGGUCCCGGGGGGAGUAUGGUUGCAAAGCUGAAACUUAAAGGAAUUGACGGAAAGGCACCACCAGGAGUGGAGCCUGCGGCUUAAUUUGACUCAACACGGGAAAACUCACCCGGCCCGGACAUUUCGGGGAAAGACAGAUUGAUAGCUCUUUCUAAAUCAAAAGAAUGGUGGUGCAUGGCCGUUCUUAGUUGGUGGAGUGAUUUGUCUGGUUAAUUCCGAUAACGAACGAGAUUUUAACCUGCUUAUUAGAACACUUGGCCGGAAGGUUGAACAAGUGAAAUAAUGCUUCUUAGAGGUAUCAGUAGCUUUAAAGCUACAAGAGAAAGAGCAAUAACAGGUCUGUAAUGCCCUUAGAUGUCCGGGGCCGCACGCGGGCUACAAUUGGAGUGUCAAUUUGUGGAAUCUUUUCGUCAGCGAAAGCGGGGAAGAAUCCGAAGCACACUUCAAUGUAUCCGUAAAUUGGGAUCAUAGAGGGGACGCUCUAUGUGAACGAGGAAUUCCCAGUAGAGAUGCGUCAUCAACGUAUCUCGAUUACGUCCCUGCCUUUUGUACACACCGCCCGUCGCUACUACCGAUUGAAUGGUUAAGUGAGGUUAUCGGAUUUGUGCCGGUGGUCAUUUCGGUGACUACUAGUGUGGAGAAGAUGACCAAACUUAUCCAUUUAGAGGAAGUAAAAGUCGUAACAAGGUUUUC
rnacentral:rRNA from 1 species